rnacentral:rRNA from 1 species
UACGGAGGGUGCAAGCGUUAUCCGGAUUUACUGGGUUUAAAGGGUGCGUAGGCGGGCUAUUAAGUCAGUGGUGAAAUCCCGGGGCUCAACCUCGGAACUGCCAAUGAUACUAUUAGCCUUGAAUUAUGUUGAGGUUGGCGGAAUAUAACAUGUAGCGGUGAAAUGCUUAGAUAUGUUAUGGAACACCGAUUGCGAAGGCAGCUGGCUAAACAUAUAUUGACGCUGAUGCACGAAAGUGUGGGUAGCGAACAGG